CUUGUGGCUCUCAGCAGCGGGAUUUUCAACGUGUGAUCUUCACAAAAGCGACGGUGUCGUACCGUUUACGUUGGGCCUUCAGCAUCUCAGAAGACGUUACCUCGCCGGGAGAAGGACAACAACCCGUGUGGGUUCCCUCCCAGCAACUGAGAUUGCAUUAUAACUCCAAGGAUGGUAGAACUCUCAGAAA